rnacentral:rRNA from 1 species
GACGAACGCUGGCGGCGUGCUUAACACAUGCAAGUCGAACGGAAAGGCCCUGCUUGCAGGGUACUCGAGUGGCGAACGGGUGAGUAACACGUGGGUGAUCUGCCCUGCACCUCGGGAUAAGCCUGGGAAACUGGGUCUAAUACCGGAUAGGAGCCAUUUUUAGUGUGAUGGUUGGAAAGUUUUUUCGGUGUAGGAUGAGCUCGCGGCCUAUCAGCUUGUUGGUGGGGUAAUGGCCUACCAAGGCGGCGACGGGUAGCCGGCCUGAGAGGGUGGACGGCCACAUUGGGACUGAGAUACGGCCCAGACUCCUACGGGAGGCAGCAGUGGGGAAUAUUGCACAAUGGGCGCAAGCCUGAUGCAGCGACGCCGCGUGGGGGAUGACGGCCUUCGGGUUGUAAACUCCUUUCGCUAGGGACGAAGCUUUUUGUGACGGUACCUAGAUAAGAAGCACCGGCUAACUACGUG